rnacentral:rRNA from 1 species
GGGAGUACGCACGCAAGUGUGAAACUCAAAGGAAUUGACGGGGACCCGCACAAGCAGCGGAGCAUGUGGUUUAAUUCGAAGCAACGCGAAGAACCUUACCAGAACUUGACAUCCCUACGACCGGUCUUUAAUAGGAUCUUCCCCUCGGGGCGGAGGAGACAGGUGGUGCAUGGUUGUCGUCAGCUCGUGUCGUGAGAUGUUGGGUUAAGUCCCGCAACGAGCGCAACCCUUGUCAUUAGUUGCCAGCAUUUCGGAUGGGCACUCUAGUGAGACUGCCGGGGAUAACUCGGAGGAAGGUGGGGAUGACGUCAAAUCAUCAUGCCCCUUAUGUUCUGGGCUACACACGUGCUACAAUGGCUGGUACAAAGAGACGCAAGACGGUGACGUGGAGCAAAUCUCAAAAACCAGUCCCAGUUCGGAUUGUAGGCUGAAACUCGCCUACAUGAAGUUGGAGUUGCUAGUAAUCGCGAAUCAGAACGUCGCGGUGAAUGCGUUCCCGGGUCUUGUACACACCGCCCGUCACACCAUGGAAGCUGGGGGCGCCCGAAGUUGGCCGUUUAAUAGGUUACCUAAGGUGAAAUCAGUGACUGGGGUGAAGUCGUAACAAGGUAACC